rnacentral:pre_miRNA from 1 species
CUUGGGGGGGGGGCAGUGGUCCCUCAGCCCGCAUUGCAAGAAGGUGCAGGCCAGGCUGAGCAACCCCACCAGUGCAGG